GAUGAACGCUAGCGGCAGGCUUAAUACAUGCAAGUCGAGGGGCAGCACGUUUCGCAGCACUGCUGGAUGGUUGCGACCGGCAAACGUGUGAGGAUCGCGUACACAAUCUUCCCAUAGCAGGGGGAUAACCCGGGGAAACCCGUACUAAUUCCCCGUAGUUUACUUUUAAUGCAUCUUUGAGGUAAUAAACCUCCGGUGGCUUUGGCUCGGGGUACGUCCCAUUAGGUAGUUGGCAGGGUAACGGCCUACCAAGCCUUCGAUGGGUAACUGGUGUGAGAGCGCGGCCAGUAAAAGGGGAACUGAGACACGGGCACGACGCCAAGGGGAGGAAGCAGUAAGGAGUAUGGGUGAAUGGACGCAAGUCUGAACCAGGCAGGCCGCGUGAAGGAUGAAGGUCCUCUGAAUUGGAAACUUCGUUUAUAGGGGGCGAAAAAAGGGUAUUUUAACUCACUUGACGGUACCGUAUGAGUAAGCACCGGCUAACUCCGU
rnacentral:rRNA from 1 species